UACUAGUACGUGUAAGAAGUACAUUAAGAAAAAUAAGGGAAGUUCCUAUAGCAGUUAGCCACAAUGGCACUGCCGGGAACAAUUUUGGUUGAGAACCCUACUAAUCAGCUAAGUGAGUGAAGGAAGCAGCAACAUGGUGGAGCGAAAGUUUCCGAAAAUUGCAAGCGGAGGGAGAGAUGGAUAGAGAAAGCAAUAAUUGCAAUUAAAAACCAUAAUGAUCUAUAUAGAACUCGAAAAAGAACUUGAAGGCCAAGAAAGCAAACUUAAUAGAAAAUAUCACGAAAUCAAUUUUUUAAACUGGGAACUCAUGUAUAACAGCAUCUACCAAGCAGCUACACAGGGUGCAAAAUCCUAAAUAGGAAAACCAUUAUUUGACAGGUUCCAGUGCAGAAAGCCCCUCUUUGCGCGGAUAAGGAAUAUAACCGCUCCCUCUGGCCUUUAUAUUAUAGUGAGUGUUCCGUAAGUGGGUUCUCGAUUUAGGCGGGUGACGUUCUUCCUUAUCGCACUUACCGGAGACUGAUAUUUUCUUUGAACCUUAGUUUUGGACCUUUGCAAGAGGAUUUCCCCAGCAUGUAUAUAUAUAUUCUCAAAGAGACUCUGCCAUAUAUUUUGUUGAAAAGUUGAACAUCUAAGUGUUUACCCUAUAUACAUAUAUAGGAUGAUA
rnacentral:lncRNA from 1 species